rnacentral:tRNA from 1 species
CGCAUAGCUCAGUUGGUAGUAGCGCAUGACUGUUAAUCAUGAUGUCGUAGGUUCGAGUCCUACUGGCGG